GGAAAAAAAAAAUCAAUCUUUGGAGUCUCUUAGCCAAAAACCCCUAAUAGCAGAAAAAGAGUGGAAGACGAAUGGAGGGAAGUUGUCUAACAUUUAGCACAGCUUUGGCACCAGCCAGACCUUCAACAUGCCUUCAUUACAAUUCUACUUUUGUUAAACAGUUUCAGACAAAUACAAUCACACCAAGAAGAGGAUUAUCAGUAAAAGCGUCCACCCACAAGCCGACUUUAUCGACGAACUGGGAUGUUUCCAGUUACUCAAAAGCCCCUGCUUGGAUGCCCAGAUUUGAAGAACUUGAUACCACCAAUAUGCUUCUUCGUCAAAGGAUUAUCUUCUUGGGUUCUCAGGUAGAUGAUAUUACUGCGGAUUUUAUUAUAAGCCAGCUAUUAAUUCUUGAUGCAGAAGAUGAUAAAAAGGACAUCAGAUUGAUCAUUAAUUCACCUGGUGGUUCAGUAACUGCUGGAAUGGGAAUAUAUGAUGCCAUGAAAAUGUGUAAGGCUGAUGUUUCUACUAUCUGCAUGGGAUUGGCUGCAUCCAUGGGUGCGUUUCUCCUGGCUUCUGGCAGCAAGGGAAAGAGGUACUGCAUGCCAAACGCAAAAGUGAUGAUCCAUCAACCACUUGGAACUUCUGGUGGUAAAGCAACAGAGAUGGGUAUACGGAUCAGAGAAAUGGGAUACCACAAGAUGAAGCUUAAUAAAAUACUAUCAAGAGUUACAGGCCAGCCUUUAGAAAAGAUUGAAGUGGAUACUGAUCGUGAUAAUUUUAUGAAUGCUUGGGAGUCUAAGGAAUACGGGUUGGUUGAUGCUGUUAUAGAUGACGGCAAACCAGGAUUGGUAGCACCCAUUACCGAGGAUGCACCUCCACCAAAAACACGAGUUUGGUAUAAGUGGAAGGCCGAAGGCACCAGGAAGAGAAAGAACAAUUGGCCUUCUGAAGAAAAGUUAUUCCAAAAUGAUGAGCAGAGCAAUGAACAGAAAGAUGAAGCUCUAAGUCCUCUAUAAUGUAUUGGGAUACAUGUGGCCUUGAACAGAUAGUCCCUACUGAAUAUGAGAUGUCGUCUUGAGGGUUCAUUGUAAGAUUAUUAACAGGAAUUUUUAUAUUAUGGUCGACGUCAGUUGAGCCUUCUGUUGUAUCAAUGUCUCCUCUUAGUAUUUGAACUGGUCCUUUAUCAACAAAGAGAACAUUUGAA
rnacentral:misc_RNA from 1 species